CAGCUUAAGGAUUUUAUAUCUGCAAGUACCACUAAUCCCACUACCAUCAGGCAGCUAAGUUAGCCCCUGUCUCCAGCUCUAAUGCUGAUAUAAGCAUCUGUGUGACAUAUAUGGCUUUCUGUUAAUUAGUAUGUGUUUUUUUAGAAAUCGAUUUUUUGGCUGAUUGCCCUUUGGUAACCUGUUGAGCACAUGACUUAACUACAUUGCUACAUAUGUUCCAUGCACUCUCGAUAC